UGGGUGGGGUGUCUCCACCCCGUUCUUUACCUUGGUCUGGGUGGGGUGUCUCCACCCUGUUCUUUACCUUGGUCUGGGUGGGGUGUCUCCACCCUGUUCUUUACCUUGGUCUGGGUGGGGUGUCUCCACCCUGUUCUUUUUGCCUUUUAUUUAUUUCUUCUUUUUUUUUGUGCAAAAAAUAUUUUUUAUUGUAAAAUUAAUGUUAUGUUUCUAUCUAAUAUUAAUCUUGAAUAAGACUUGUUGCCAUGAAUUGAAAUACUCUUAUGUUUUGAGCAGUAGAAAAUCUUUGUGAAUUAUACUUCAUUCACGCUAAAAAGAAAAAAUAUUAAGUUUCAUGUAUUUUCGGUUGGCUGUGUUUUUGAGGUUAGCAUCAGUAACUCAACCAGGCAGAAGUUUAAACUAACCCUUCAAGGUCUGUUUUUGAGGGUAGUAUUGGUAACUAAACCAGGUUAUGGUAGGGAGAGGUUUAAACCAACCCUUCAAGGUCUGGUUUUGAGGGUAGUAUCGGUAACUAAACCAGGCAGGAGUUUAAACCCUUCAAGGUCUGUUUUUGAGGGUAGUAUCGGUAACUAAACCAGAUUAUGGUAGGGAGAGGUCUGUGAAUAUUGCCGUCUGUCAUGCCGGAGAACAAACCAUUUCUGCUAAUGUUGAAGAUGACUGCCAUUUAUUAAAAAACAAUAUCUAUCUUGUUAUUUUGCAUCUUUGCCAUGUAACCUAUGAAAUAAAUACACUGUAUCCUA